CAAUAGCGUAUAUUAACGUUGUUGCAGUUAAAAAGCUCGUAGUUGGAUUUCUGGAGGGAGCGUCGGCCCUUAUUUACGAGUGCGUGACGUCUCUGUCCAUCCUUGCGGGAAGGCACGGCAUUGAUUUGUUGUGUCGGAUCGCAUCAUUUACUGUGAAAAAAUUAGAGUGUUCAAAGCAGGCUUUCGCUUGAAUACAUUAGCAUGGAAUAAUAAGAUAGGACUUUGGUGCUAUUUUGUUGGUUGAGCCUAAAGUAAUGAUUAAUAGGGAUAGUUGGGGGCACCUGUAUUGCGUUGUCAGAGGUGAAAUUCUUGGAUUUACGCAAGACAAACAGCUGCGAAAGCGUCUGCCAAGGAUGUUUUCAUUAA
rnacentral:rRNA from 1 species